AUUUCACACCAUGCAUGAGCAGCACGUGACACUCGUUCCCACAAGAGACAAAGGAAGUACACCUGUCAGGAAACUCGCAAUCACUUGUGCAGCUGAGCAAGGGACACGCUUCCAAGUUCCAGAGACCGAGAACAGACAAAACCCGGUUCGACUACCAAGUAACCUUCUUCGAUUUUUACUACGCGUUGAGGAAACGCCAAUCCGAAACACACAGACGAGCCUUGUCCCUCAACCAAGAAAGAGACAGCGGCAAUGCUAUUGGUCAGUGGUCACGUGUUACUGACGUCAUAGCCUCCGCCUCGAUGACGCUUGGGGCACAGCAUUGUGACUUUAACUAUCUGAUUGAUGAUGUGUUUUAACAGUGGGUCCACAUAAUAUACAA